UACGUAGGGGGCAAGCGUUGUCCGGAUUUAUUGGGCGUAAAGAGCGUGUAGGCGGCUUUACAGGUCCGUUGUGAAAACUCGAGGCUCAACCUCGAGACGCCGGUGGAAACCGUAAAGCUAGAGUCCGGAAGAGGAGAGUGGAAUUCCUGGUGUAGCGGUGAAAUGCGCAGAUAUCAGGAGGAACACCCGUGGCGAAGGCGGCUCUCUGGGACGGUACUGACGCUGAGACGCGAAAGCGUGGGGAGCGAACAGG
rnacentral:rRNA from 1 species